GGUGUGUUAGUUCAGUCGGUUAGAAUAUCUGCCUGUCACGCAGGGGGUCACGAGUUCGAGUCUCGUACACACCG
rnacentral:tRNA from 2 species